rnacentral:misc_RNA from 1 species
AAGCAGCCAGUGUCAUCUUCAGGUCCAGCAAAUAGCUCAGGAACAGCAAAUACAGCAGGCCCAUCCCCAAGUUCUGCUCCUUCAACUCCCUCAACCCAUACACCUGGAGAUGCAAUCUCAAUGCCUGCUUUGCCUCACAGUGGUAGUUCAUCUAAACCUUUGAUGAUGUUCAGCAGUGAUGGCACUGGAACUUUUACAUCCCCCUCAAAUCAGUUGGCUGAUAUGGAUCGCUUUGUUGAGGAUGGGUCUCUUGAUGACAACGUUGAGUCUUUUUUAUCCCAUGAUGAUACGGACCCUAGAGAUCCUGUAGGGCGCUGCAUGGAUGGCAGCAAAGGAUUCACAUUUACGGAGGUGAAUUCUGUUAGAGCAAGCUCAAGCAAAGUUUUCUCUUGCCACUUUUCAUCUGAUGGAAAACUGCUUGCUAGUGGUGGCCAGGAUAAGAAGGCUGUAU